rnacentral:rRNA from 1 species
UACGUAGGAUCCAAGCGUUGUCCGGAUUUACUGGGUGUAAAGGGUGCGCAGGCGGAAUGGUAAGUCAGAGGUGAAAUCUCAUCGCUCAACGGUGAAACUGCCUUUGAUACUAUCAUUCUUGAGUCCGAUAGAGAUCUGUGGAAUUCCGAGUGUAGCAGUGAAAUGUGUAGAUAUUCGGAAGAACACCAGUGGCGAAGGCGGCUCACUGGCCCGAUACUGACGCUGAGGCACGAAAGCGUGGGGAGCAAACAGG